rnacentral:rRNA from 1 species
AUUGAACGCUGGCGGCAGGCUUAACACAUGCAAGUCGAACGAGCGGCGGACGGGUGAGUAAUGUCUGGGAAACUGCCUGAUGGAGGGGGAUAACUACUGGAAACGGUAGCUAAUACCGCGUACCAUAAGAUGUGCCCAGAUGGGAUUAGCUAGUUGGUGGGGUAAUGGCUCACCAAGGCGACGAUCCCUAGCUGGUCUGAGAGGAUGACCAGCCACACUGGAACUGAGACACGGUCCAGACUCCUACGGGAGGCAGCAGUGGGGAAUAUUGCACAAUGGGCGCAAGCCUGAUGCAGCCAUGCCGCGUGAGUGAAGAAGGCCUUCGGGUUGUAAAGUACUUUCGGCGAGGAGGCGUUACGCGCAGAAGAAGCACCGGCUAACUCCGUGCCAGCAGCCGCGGUAAUUC